AAAUAAGCGUUGUACUUAACUUGAGAGAAGCCCAAUUUCUUGAAUAGCCGAAUACUAGGCUUGUUUUGGGAGCCAACUUUGACUCGAUACUUAAGGAUUUGCUUAUUUUUGGCAAUUCCACUGGAUUCAACAUAGUGCAAAAAUGCAUCUACAAUCUUGGUUCCAUAUCCUUUCCUUCUAUUCUGAGGCUCUGCAAUCAUCAAUUCAAGUUCACCUACUAUAUGUACCUCUGACUCCUUCGUAGCAUUGGUAGCAUUAGCAUCACUGGGAGAAUCAUCAAAUUCUUCUAUACCGUCUGCGUAUUCCUCAGUCAAAAACAUGUUCACAUCCCCAAUCAUUGAUUCAACGCUGUGGGCUUUUACAUGAUCCAAAAUUGAAGGUUUCUUAGCUUCAUCGUUUUCGUUUAGUAAAACGAUAAACGUCAGCUCUAUAUCGUUAGAAAAUGAUUAGAACUUGUGAUGCAAUUGAUCAAUCACGAAUGUUGAACCAUCAUAACAUACUAUCUUCAUCAGUACUCCAUGAGGCCUGCAUUUGAUAUUCUUCGUCAAGAGUUAAAGGCUCUGAACAAGUAAGCUCUUGCAAUUCCUCAUUUUUCAUCCAGUUAUGGUAUUUUAACACAUGGCAUUUUUGAUAUGGCACGAGAAUCAAGUUGCCGCAAUCAACAGUAGUAUUUUGAUUAAUUUUCAUUGAAAGCACACUUUUUUUUACCGACUCUUCAAUAGCCAAAUACUCACUUAUUCCAAAUGUUUACAGUAUCAAUCAAAAUGAUACCGAACCGUGAAGUUGAAUAUAUGCAACGGAUAAAAAAAACGUGAUUUGAUGUUUAGUAAAAUAGUUUUACGAGAACUCUGAUUGAAAAGACAUUCAACGAAAAUCUCUCAAAUAUAUACAAUAAAUUC